AUCAGGUAGGGAUACCCGCUGAACUUAAGCAUAUCAAUAAGCGGAGGAAAAGAAACCAACAGGGAUUGCCCUAGUAACGGCGAGUGAAGCGGCAACAGCUCAAAUUUGAAAUCUGGCCCUUUCAGGGUCCGAGUUGUAAUUUGUAGAGGAUGCUUUUGGGCAGCCACCGGUCUAAGUUCCUUGGAACAGGACGUCAUAGAGGGUGAGAAUCCCGUAUGUGACUGGACAGGCACCCUUUGUAAAGCUCCUUCGACGAGUCGAGUUGUUUGGGAAUGCAGCUCUAAAUGGGAGGUAAAUUUCUUCUAAAGCUAAAUACCGGCCAGAGACCGAUAGCGCACAAGUAGAGUGAUCGAAAGAUGAAAAGCACUUUGGAAAGAGAGUUAAAAAGCACGUGAAAUUGUUGAAAGGGAAGCGCCUAUGACCAGACUUGUCUCG
rnacentral:rRNA from 1 species